rnacentral:rRNA from 1 species
UACGUAGGUGGCGAGCGUUGUCCGGAUUUACUGGGCGUAAAGAGCGCGCAGGCGGCUGGUCAAGUCCGAUGUGAAAGCUCCCGGCUUAACUGGGAAAUUGCAUCGGAAACUGAUCGGCUGGAAGGUGGGAGAGGGUAGCGGAAUUCCCGGUGUAGUGGUGAAAUGCGUAGAUAUCGGGAGGAACACCAGUGGCGAAAGCGGCUACCUGGCCCAUUCUUGACGCUGAGGCGCGAAAGCUAGGGGACGAAACGGG